rnacentral:rRNA from 1 species
CAGCCGCCGCGGUAAUACGAAGGGUGCAAGCGUUAAUCGGAAUUACUGGGCGUAAAGCGUGCGUAGGCGGUGAGUUAAGUCUGCUGUGAAAUCCCCGGGCUCAACCUGGGAAUGGCAGUGGAUACUGGCUCGCUAGAGUGUGUCAGAGGAUGGUGGAAUUCCCGGUGUGGCGGUGAAAUGCGUAGAGAUCGGGAGGAACAUCAGUGGCGAAGGCGGCCAUCUGGGACAACACUGACGCUGAGGCACGAAAGCGUGGGGAGCAAACAGGAUUAGAUACCCCAGUAGUCCCUGUCUCUUAUAA